CAGAGUUUGAUCCUGGCUCAGGACGAACGCUGGCGGCGUGCUUAACACAUGCAAGUCGAGCGGUAAGGCCCUUCGGGGUACACGAGCGGCGAACGGGUGAGUAACACGUGAGCAACCUGCCCCUGACUCCGGGAUAAGCGGUGGAAACGCCGUCUAAUACCGGAUACGACCGGCCACCUCAUGGUGGCCGGUGGAAAGUUCUUCGGUUGGGGAUGGGCUCGCGGCCUAUCAGCUUGUUGGUGGGGUAAAGGCCUACCAAGGCGAUUACGGGUAGCCGGCCUGAGAGGGCGACCGGCCAUACUGGGACUGAGACACGGCCCAGACUCCUGCGGGAGGCAGCAGUGGGGAAUAUUGCGCAAUGGGCGAAAGCCUGACGCAGCGACGCCGCGUGGGGGAUGACGGCCUUCGGGUUGUAAACCUCUUUUACCACCAACGCAGGCUCCCAGUUCUCUGGGGGUUGACGGUAGGUGGGGAAUAAGGACCGGCUAACUACGUGCCAGCAGCCGCGGUAAUACGUAGGGUCCGAGCGUUGUCCGGAAUUAUUGGGCGUAAAGAGCUCGUAGGCGGCGUGUCGCGUCUGCUGUGAAAGACCGGGGCUUAACUCCGGUUCUGCAGUGGAUACGGGCAUGCUAGAGGUAGGUAGGGGAGACUGGAAUUCCUGGUGUAGCGGUGAAAUGCGCAGAUAUCAGGAGGAACACCGGUGGCGAAGGCGGGUCUCUGGGCCUUACCUGACGCUGAGGAGCGAAAGCAUGGGGAGCGAACAGGAUUAGAUACCCUGGUAGUCCAUGCCGUAAACGUUGGGCGCUAGGUGUGGGGACUUUCCACGGUUUCCGCGCCGUAGCUAACGCAUUAAGCGCCCCGCCUGGGGAGUACGGCCGCAAGGCUAAAACUCAAAGGAAUUGACGGGGGCCCGCACAAGCGGCGGAGCAUGUUGCUUAAUUCGACGCAACGCGAAGAACCUUACCAAGGUUUGAC
rnacentral:rRNA from 1 species